rnacentral:rRNA from 1 species
UACGUAGGAUGCGAGCGUUGUCCGGAAUUACUGGGCGUAAAGAGCGCGUAGGCGGCCCUUAGCGUAGGCGGUGAAAGCCCCCGGCUCACCUGGGGGAGUGCCGCCUAAACGGGGGGGCUAGAGGGCGGUAGGGGCUGGCGGAACGCCCGGAGUAGCGGUGAAAUGCGUUGAGAUCGGGCAGAACACCAGUGGCGAAGGCGGCCAGCUGGGCCGUUACUGACGCUGAGGCGCGAAAGCCAGGGGAGCGAACGGA